UACAGAGGUCUCAAGCGUUGUUCGGAUUCAUUGGGCGUAAAGGGCGCGUAGGCGGCGCGGUAAGUCGGGUGUGAAAUCUCAGAGCUCAACUCUGAAACUGCACUCGAUACUGCUUUGCUAGAGGACUGGAGAGGAGAUUGGAAUUCACGGUGUAGCAGUGAAAUGCGUAGAGAUCGUGAGGAAGACCAGUGGCGAAGGCGGAUCUCUGGACAGUUCCUGACGCUGAGGCGCGAAGGCCAGGGGAGCAAACGGG
rnacentral:rRNA from 1 species